UACAGAGGGUGCAAGCGUUGUUCGGAAUUACUGGGCGUAAAGGGCUCGUAGGUGGCCAACUAAGUCAGACGUGAAAUCCCUCGGCUUAACCGGGGAACUGCGUCUGAUACUGGAUGGCUUGAGUUCGGGAGAGGGAUGCGGAAUUCCAGGUGUAGCGGUGAAAUGCGUAGAUAUCUGGAGGAACACCGGUGGCGAAGGCGGCAUCCUGGACCAUGACUGACGCUGAGGAGCGAAAGCUAGGGGAGCAAACGGG
rnacentral:rRNA from 1 species